GUGUGGUGGUAGGCACCUGUAAUCCCAGCUACUUGGGAGGCUAAGGCAGUAGAAUUGCUUGACGCCUGGAGGCGCUUGAACAUCCUCUGGCUCAGGCCUCCCUCCACGAAGGUGCUCUCUCUGGGAGACCAACACACAGCCAGAGGCUACCUGGGUAUCUUGAGGCAAAGGCUAGGAUUGCCUAGGGAGAGAUUUUAAUGAAGUCACAAGAGGGCCCUCUGAUAAUUCCUUACUCCUAGGGCUGAACAGGGAGCACCUCUCUCUGGGCAGGGCUUAGCUGGUUACUAGCCUCAGACCCUCCUUUGUCUAAGCUCUAUUUGGAAGCCUUGAAGACACCUGCUGACGCCAGAGCAGACCAGCAGAUGGGUGAAUGCUCUGUCUUCGGCACUCACCCUUGCUCCCUGCCUCCAGUCAUCCAGGCUCUGGUCGAAGCUCUCUACCAGCCCAACACCCUCCCCAUGUUCCAAUUGCCCUAUCAAACUAGCACUCCCUGUGGUCGUGGUGGUGGGGAGAGCAAUCAGUUUAAAUUUAUAAAACGAUUUGCACUAAGGUAUAAGUGAGCCACGACUUCACCUUCCCAUGGGCAUUAGCUUUUUAAAAAGGAAGUCUGUUAACCUAAAUUCUGCUCUAUAAUUAGUGGAAAGUGAUGUGUGGGAAUUCUGAGUCCAGGAGGGGAUGGCAUCCAGGUCUCCUUACCUAUCCUGGAGCACAGCAAGAAGAAAACCAGAUGAACAGGAGCCAAACACCCUCUCUUUUCCUCCAGCAACACCCCACAAUUGUUUGAGGAGGCAGGCAAGGCCUUAGAAUCAUGAAGCUGACCUUGGGGGUGGGCCUCCAACUUCUCCCCUGGCUGGUUAGGAAAAGCCUGCCCAUGACUUUUUCCUCUGCCAGAGUGAGGCUGCCCAGUCUCAAUUCCCCUGCUCUGGGCAGGCUGGAGAGAGCUCCUAGGAGGUGAAGGGGACUACAUAUGCCCCAGGCAGAGGCAGGCAGGCAGGCAGGCAGGCAGGCAGAACCUUCCUGCGCUUCGGCCUGCAUGGGCCGCGCGUAAGGGGCUGGUAAGCCAGGAGUCCUGGAGUCCGGCCCAGGUGCAUCCUUCAUGGUCAGCCGGACCUGCCUUGCUUCCUGCCUGGGAAAGCCCUAAAUUGGCCUGGGCGGGCGCGCUGUGCGGCUCUGGGACCCGCCGCGAGGCAAAGUCCGCCCUGGGCCCUUCCACACGGACGCAGGCAGCCUCUGUCAACAGCCCCUGGCUUAUCUGCUGCUGCUGUGGCUGUUUGCCUUCGGGGAGGCCCCGGCGGGCCUAGGGGUGGGGAAGGCCUGGAAGCCGCAGCCUUGGAGCUGGAAAGGCCCUCAGCGGCGAUUUGCACCGACUCCGGACGGCUCGGGGGCGGCGGGGUCGCCCAGGUCCUCGAGGCUUGACCUCAGCCGGGGCGGUCUCUCCUACACCGAGGCAUGGGCUGCGGGACCUCCUCCUAGCACACUCCCUCUCCCAGGCACUUCGCCGAGUCCCUGCGGGCGGAAGAGGCAAACGGGACGCGCCCGCGCUUCGCGCCCUUUCGCCUGCGCCGCCUCUGAGGUGUCAGAACUUCGGCGGGGGCCGCGCCCCCGGAGCUGCUGCUCAGGCUUUUCCCCACACUCCACCAUCCUGCGAAGCCCCGGCAUCCGCCCCCUGACCUAGGCAAGGGUUACCCCAGAAACGAUCCUGGGUCCGGGGCUGCCCUGAGCACCGCGGGAGAAGGGGAAGCGGCAGGGCUCGUAACCGAGCCCGGCGCACCCAGCACCUGGCGGCGGGAGGUGUUCCUGAUCUGUGAGGCUUUUCCCUUCUGGUAUCACUGACAAACCCCAUCGCCCUCCGGCAUUGUGAACCCCUGCAAGUCGCCACAGCUUCCCCGCCUUGUCCCAUCGAGUGUGCGGCGGAGCAGACGCGCGGCCACAGCUCUCCCCGCCCUGCCGAGCCGACCCGACCCGGCCUUCUGGGCAGGCCCCAGACGCCCGAGGCCAGGGGCGCCCCUCGCCUCUUCCUCGGCCUCAGGGACACUUGUCUAACGUGGAUCUAAAGCAAGUCCUGCGCGCUGACCACGGACAGUUAUUCAAGCUGCACGUUGCCGCGGCUCCGGCUCUCACUGUCGCUCAGCAGGUCGUCCUCCGAGUCCUCGAGCAGCGACGAGGAGCCAGUGGAGGAGACCGACGAGGUGGAAAGGCGGCGCGGCUGCUGCAGGAGCUCGGGGCUUGGAGUCCGCUGUGCGGCGUUCAGCAAGUUAUUUCACUUCCCUUGACUGCGGAUUCUCCCGUUGCCGCGAGAGUAGAAUAAAAGAUUUGAAAUCAGGUACACCACACUCUAGAUGUGAUUUU